rnacentral:rRNA from 1 species
GAAAAAAUUUUGCAUAUCAAUAAGCNGAGGAAAAGAAACCAACAGGGAUUGCCUCAGUAACGGCGAGUGAAGCGGCAAAAGCUCAAAUUUGAAAUCCCCCCGGGGAGUUGUAAUUUGAAGAUUGCGUCUUGGAGGCGACCGUGUCUAUGUUCCUUGGAACAGGACGUCACAGAGGGUGAGAAUCCCGUGCGGCACGGCCCCCGGCUCCUUAUAAGGCGCUCUCGACGAGUCGAGUUGUUUGGGAAUGCAGCUCAAAGUGGGUGGUAAAUUCCAUCUAAAGCUAAAUACAGGCGAGAGACCGAUAGCGAACAAGUACAGUGAUGGAAAGAUGAAAAGCACUUUGAAAAGAGAGUGAAACAGCACGUGAAAUUGUUGAAAGGGAAGGGCAUGCCGUCAGAUUGUCAGUGUGGGUAAGAAGCGGGGUACAAAGACUGUGGAACGUGGCCCUCGGGUGUUAUAGCCGCAGUUCAUGCCCCGUCUCUUUCCGAGGCCUGCUUUGAGGACACCGACGUAAUGACGGUACGCCGCCCGUCUUGAAACACGGACCAAAGCGGAAAGAAA